rnacentral:rRNA from 1 species
AACGAACGCUGGCGGCAUGCCUAACACAUGCAAGUCGAACGAGACCUUCGGGUCUAGUGGCGCACGGGUGCGUAACGCGUGGGAAUCUGCCCUUCGGUUCGGAAUAACUCAGGGAAACUUGAGCUAAUACCGGAUAAUGACGUAAGUCCAAAGAUUUAUCGCCGAAGGAUGAGCCCGCGUAGGAUUAGCUUGUUGGUGGGGUAAUGGCCCACCAAGGCGACGAUCCUUAGCUGGUCUGAGAGGAUGAUCAGCCACACUGGGACUGAGACACGGCCCAGACUCCUACGGGAGGCAGCAGUGGGGAAUAUUGGACAAUGGGCGAAAGCCUGAUCCAGCAAUGCCGCGUGAGUGAUGAAGGCCUUAGGGUUGUAAAGCUCUUUUACCCGGGAUGAUAAUGACAGUACCCGUAGAGAAGCUCCGGCUAACUUCGUGCCAGCAGCCGCGGUAAUGUCUAGC